GGUUAAGCGACUAAGCGUACACGGUGGAUGCCCUGGCAGUCAGAGGCGAUGAAGGACGUGCUAAUCUGCGAUAAGCGUCGGUGAGGUGAUAUGAACCGUUAUAACCGGCGAUUUCCGAAUGGGGAAACCCAGUGUGUUUCGACACACUAUCAUUAACUGAAUCCAUAGGUUAAUGAGGCGAACCGGGGGAACUGAAACAUCUAAGUACCCCGAGGAAAAGAAAUCAACCGAGAUUCCCCCAGUAGCGGCGAGCGAACGGGGAGGAGCCCAGAGCCUGAAUCAGUGUGUGUGUUAGUGGAAGCGUCUGGAAAGGCGUGCGAUACAGGGUGACAGCCCCGUACACAAAAAUGCACAUAUUGUGAGCUCGAUGAGUAGGGCGGGACACGUGGUAUCCUGUCUGAAUAUGGGGGGACCAUCCUCCAAGGCUAAAUACUCCUGACUGACCGAUAGUGAACCAGUACCGUGAGGGAAAGGCGAAAAGAACCCCGGCGAGGGGAGUGAAAAAGAACCUGAAACCGUGUACGUACAAGCAGUGGGAGCCUCUUAAUG
rnacentral:rRNA from 1 species